CCCGCGGGGCCGCCGCGCCGCCCGGCCCGCUUUGGCACUAGCACAUUUUUGCUUUGCUUUAUGUGUUUUGAGCAAUUAUGUGUAGUGCCAAUAUGGGAGAAGGCGGAGAGAGCACCACGGGAUG
rnacentral:pre_miRNA from 7 species